AAGUCGUAACAAGGUUUCCGUAGGUGAACCUGCGGAAGGAUCAUUAACACGAUCCAACGUUAAACCCCCUGUGAACCUUCAUGUAUGAGUUACAUCCACGUCAUAAACCGGCAAUCUCAAGGGUGUACGGUAGUGCGAGGCAAUUGACCUGGCAUUCCUCUGCUUGUUAGUGUCUGAAAGUGUCACUAGCUAUGUACGGAUGGCGCAGUAACGAUCGCUGGAGGCCGACACGGCCGGCGACCAGGUCACUGGGCUACGGCCCCCCUGAUCACAACCUUUGCAUGAAAACGGGCCUGCGCUGAGGUGCGGCCACCCCUAAUGCUUGAACAACUGUUAACAAUGGAUAUCUUGGUUCUC
rnacentral:misc_RNA from 1 species